AUUAACUGACUUCCGUUACAUCAGUUUUGUUAGCCUUCAUAUUAUAUACUACGAUAAUAGUGUUGUCGUGGCUUCAGUAGUUGUUCUAAGGCUAUGAUGAUUAACGAACAAAAUGUUGCCUUCAUAUUAUUAAGUAUUAUUAUAAGUCGUCGAGGAGCAGUUCCAAAUAACUGCUAUAAUAUAUUAAUGGAAAUGUAUAUUAUGUACAAUAAUGUAUUGUAAGAAUUCGAGAACCAACGUCAACAGGAAAUGGGACGAGGAGUUGAAUCGUCGUCUAAUUCUACUUUGGUAUUGUUGUUCAUCUUCAUAUUUCAUGCCCCAGAGGUCACUACCAUUCAUUAAUGUGCUCUUCUUGUUUUCAAUGGAGAGGAAGAAUAGGAAAAUUAAAAAUGGUGUCAAUUAUGUUAGGUGCUGCUGGGAGGAGGGGGUUGUUGGGUCAUUAUCCUACAUGAUUGCCAUCUAUGUGUUCCUCCAAAAAACAAAAAAAAGGUAAUAAAAAGAAUGUUAUCGAAUCAAUAGGGGUCGUCUCACUUUAACUAAGAACUAGGCGUACUCACUCUGGGAGGAGGAGAACAAAGUAUAUAUUAUGCUGUAUGUAUUGUAGAGAUCCGCCUGAUGUUUCCAAAAAUAAUAUAAUAUACAUUGUACGUAA
rnacentral:lncRNA from 1 species